rnacentral:rRNA from 1 species
UACAGAGGGUGCAAGCGUUGUUCGGAAUUAUUGGGCGUAAAGCGCGUGUAGGCGGCUUUGCAAGUCGGGUGUGAAAAUCCCUCAGCUUAACUGAGGAAGUGCGCCCGAAACUGCUUUUGCUUGAGUGCCGGAGAGGAUGGCGGAAUUCCCCAAGUAGAGGUGAAAUUCGUAGAUAUGGGGAGGAACACCGGUGGCGAAGGCGGCCAUCUGGACGGUAACUGACGCUGAGACGCGAAAAGCGUGGGGGAGCAAACAGG